AUUUUGUCUACUCUGACGGCCAGCAAAAGCACACAUUCCAGUUCAUCUUCCUCAAGAAAACAAAGCAACAUUACGACUUCCGUCUCUCAAGUUUCCAAGUCUUGGAUAACAUUUCAAACAGACCUGACGAGCAGCCCAACGAAUGAAUUGUCCUUGUCUUCAACUGACCUAUUGCUGCAAAUGAAUCAUCCUGCAACCUCAGAUACUACAAAGGUCGUCCUUAUCGCGGUUUUUGUCCUUUUGGCCAUCAUUAUCGUGAUGUUUGUGUUGGGUUGUAUCUACAAACAUAAACAAAAUGUAAAGACCGUAAAUGCGUAUAAUCGCACUAUCACUCCAAUUCCAAGGACAAUCUUCCAAAGAGCGGUGGUACCACAAACAGGAAGUGAAGAAAUGAUGCAUUCACGAGGAAACUUGGCAAACUAUGAUCAAUCUUCCUUCUGAACAUUUUGGGCAGCUUUAUUGUUAUCAUAGAAAAACCUAUGAGCGGUAUAUUAUAGAAACAGUAUUGCGUAUGCAUGAUCAUUACUAUCGAGCUUGAUUUAAUGAAAGUUCAUAUGAACAGGCAGACAAGGUAAGACGUAUAACUUGCUUAACCAGACCAAGUUUCCCUGAGCAUCGGUAUACGACGAAAUAUACGACCUGAGCUAGCUGGGAGACUGUUUGCCUGGUUAAUGCAAGAUUUUGUCUUGUUCAGACGAGGUCAAAGAAACGGGCUGGUCUGCGUUUCUCAAACUGGUUUUGGGAUCUUGUCUCGAAUGAACUGCCCGCCUGGGUCAUAUGAACGUGGUCUGUACCUGAAGGUGCAUUUUAUUUAUGAUUAUGAAUUAUUACAAAUAUAUUUACUAUAUACAUCAUAACAUGCCCAUUUUGCAGUCGUUUCCUUCGCAGUAAGUCAAGGUGCUCAUACCACUAACUUUACACAAGGACGUUUCCACAUUUCAGAGUUAACCUGAUUAGACUUAUAAAUCUACUGUAUUUUGCUGCAAAAGUUUUAAUAAAUAUUUUUCUAUAACGGCUAAUGAUCUUUGAAGUUUUUACAUAAAUUAAAAUUCCUCAAUAUUUGCCCUUGGAGGUAGCGUAGAACAUGGUUGUAAAUAAUAUUUUUGUUCAAACUCAUGGCAUUACAUUUUCACUUGAAUUGGGUGAUUUUGAUUUCUAUAA